rnacentral:rRNA from 1 species
CUAUUACAAGGUGCUGCAUGGUUGUCGGUCAGCUCGUGCCGUGAGGUGUCGGGUUAAGUCCCAUAACGAGCGCAACCCUUACCGUUAGUUGCCAUCGGGUCAAGCCGGGGACUCUAGCGGGACUGCCACCGUAAGGUGAGAGGAAGGUGGGGAUGACGUCAAAUCAGCACGGCCCUUAUGUCCAGGGCUACACACGCGUUACAAUGGCCGGUACAGAGGGCAGCUACCUGGUGACAGGAUGCUAAUCCCGAAAGCCGGUCCCAGUUCGGAUUGGAGUCUGCAACCCGACUCCAUGAAGUUGGAUUCGCUAGUAAUCGCGCAUCAGCCAUGGCGCGGUGAAUACGUUCCCGGGCCUU